CUAGCUCACUGUUUAGCUCUGGUAGCUACUGCAUCCUAAUAUCCUCAGAUUCCCGGACUAUAGUAGUAUGCAACACAAGGUAAAUGCAAGUAUCUGUUCUCUGUGGACUUUCCAGAGCUUGACUCUGUGUAUCAUAUCUCUAGUGCUUUAUAGGAUACAGGGUGCUAUAACAACACAAACAGAAGAUGUGGAACUGGGUAGCAACACCACCUUGAGAUGUACCUCAACAGAGCCUAUUAAGAAUUUUUUUCAAGUUACAUGGAGAAAAGUAAUUAAUGGAAACUCUGAAAAUAUGGGAACAUACCGCAACGGCACAGAUGCAAAUAUUCUUCCACAAUUCAAAGGCAAAUUCAGUUUCACCAUUUUAAAAAAGAAUGAUACUGCCAUCACCCUUUGGAAUGUUAGCAAUAAAGAUAAGGGAUGCUACCAAUGCAUAUUUUCUACAACUGUUGGAGAACUCCGAGGAGAACCCUGUUUUUCCAUUUACGGACUGGAAACAUUUCUACAUCGCAAUAUAUUUGAUGGACGCUUAAAUGCCACCUGCGUUGCAACCGGCUUCCCACGUCCCAAUGUUUCAUGGGUCGCACAAGGAGGCAAGCAGGAAGAAACUGAGAUCACAAAUCCCAAUGGCACAAUAUCUGUCAUUAGCAACAUCCUUAUGAGUAUAGAUGCCUCAAGUGGUCAUGUUGGAGAAGAAGUGAUCUGCAGAGUUACACACCGAGGAAAAGAGAUUGACAUCAAAGUGGCAGAAAAAGUGUUCUCAGGAUUCGAUGUAUGCUGUAAUUCUACUGCUACAGCAAAAUGGCAAAUGGCCGCAGUUAUCCAAAUGCUGUUCUGCUCACUGUAUUGGCCCUUUUCCUUGUGACCCUGGUUAUCAUUGUGGCAUGCUGCUGGAGACAAUACAGGAAAAAGCGCAGUGGGUUCUAAGUGAUUCAGCCAAGUCCCAUCAGUUUGUUCCAUGGAAGCAAAAAUAAAAGCCUUAGUAGCACUGGCCAAGCCACACUGAUCAGGUUAGUGCUGCAAUUGCGUUUAAAGACAACAACAAAAAUCCACCAAGCAAGUCUGGAAAAAAAGUGAUGGGACGACAGGACAGAAAACACUGGAAUGAAACGAUUUGGCACUGAUGUCAUGUUGAUUUUCAUAAAAAUGGAGUAAAUGAAAGAUGCCAGUUUCUGACUAAAUGGUUCAUAUGAAAGCAAUCUCAAUGAAUAUUUUCUCUUAUAUACGCAUUUGUUCACAGUAUUGUCUUACUGCUGUGCUGCAAGGCUAGUUAUUGUACCUUCAAUCAGUGGUGCAGCUGUUGUUUGUUUGGUUGUAGUUGUUGUUGUUAUUGUUAUUUCAUUUCGAUACUGCACCACAGCCAAAGUUAAUAAUGAGUUAAGUUAAUAUUAGACUCUGGACUUCAUAGUCUUAUGCCCUGCCUGGCCAGUUGGUAAUGUGUAUUACUCUCCUACUCAUUCUGGGCCAAAAGAGGUAUUAUUUCAAAUGUGUGUCUAACAGCUAUGUCUUCUAUUCAGUUUUAUUCUAGAAUAGGUGCAGGGGUCCAGUCUGGAUCUUAAAAGUCCCCCUAUCCCUCAUGCUAGGAUCCCAAUCCAGAUCAGGGGCACCUACUGUAGAAUAAAAAUGGCCGGGUACUGUCCGUUUUGGUUCUCUGUUGAGUGAUGCCCUGGACUUCUGCCCCAACGUCUGUCCGGGUGGGCACCACUGCCUUCAUUAUAAGCUGCUCUGUGGCUACCUCUGUUAAAAACAACACUUGCACUGGAUAUAUGGAAAAGUUUGCUGUAUUUUACUUCAGAAAAACCAAAUAAAAACACUU